rnacentral:rRNA from 1 species
AUGCAGCCAUAUCGAUUGAAUGCGUUUGGACUUCGCACUCACAUCAAGUUGUAGAGCAAAUUUUAUGGCCCCUUCUGUGUUCUUUCAAAAGUGGGCAAGGUGGCUUAAAAAUUACUGCUCCCUGACCAAGCUUAGAUCCAUCAUGUUUUCCAUGUAAGACAGCUGAAGAAACGCAUCGGGAAUUGGGCAGUCCCUUGCAGUGAUCUUCCUCUAGUGGGUGAUGAUGGCAUAAUCAAGAUUGAACUAGUUCUUAUUUCGGAGACUAGGCAGAUACCUCGCAACAACAUGCAUGUCGUCCAAUGGCUUGUUUAGUGGGCGACUUUGCCGCCUGAUGACGCCUCCUGGGAGGACGCAGAUUUCAUCAAGAUGACAUUUCCUGCAUUCUUCAAGUCGACAAUCAAAUCCUGGUUCAGUAGAGCACCUACUCCUUGA